rnacentral:rRNA from 1 species
GGUGUUGCAUGGCUGUCGUCAGCUCGUGUCGUGAGAUGUUGGGUUAAGUCCCGCAACGAGCGCAACCCUCAUCCUUAGUUACCAUCAGGUAAUGCUGGGGACUUUAAGGAAACUGCCAGUGAUAAACUGGAGGAAGGUGGGGAUGAUGUCAAGUCAUCAUGGCCUUUNNNGAGUGGGCUACACACGUGCUACAAUGGUGGCUACAAUGGGCUGCAAAGUCGCGAGGCUAAGCUAAUCCCUUAAAAGCCAUCUCAGUUCGGAUUGUACUCUGCAACUCGAGUGCAUGAAGUUGGAAUCGCUAGUAAUCGUGGAUCAGCACGCCACGGUGAAUACGUUCCCGGGUCUUGUACACAC